rnacentral:rRNA from 1 species
ACAACUUUCAACAACGGAUCUCUUGGUUCUGGCAUCGAUGAAGAACGCAGCGAAAUGCGGUAAGUAGUGUGAAUUGCAGAAUUCAGUGAAUCAUCGAAUCUUUGAACGCACAUUGCGCCCCUUGGUAUUCCAUGGGGCAUGCCUGUUCGAGCGUCAUUUG